GUCAGGGUGGCUGAGCGGUCUAAGGCGGCCCACUUGAGUCCAUUUUCCCCAGGAGUGAGUGUUCUGGUCUCUAAAAUUAGGCGUGGGAUCAAAUCCCACCCCUGCCA
rnacentral:tRNA from 1 species